rnacentral:rRNA from 1 species
GGUUAAGCGACUAAGCGUACACGGUGGAUGCCACGGCAGUCAGAGGCGAUGAAGGACGUGCUAAUCUGCGAUAAGCGUCGGUAAGGUGAUAUGAACCGUUAUAACCGGCGAUUUCCGAAUGGGGAAACCCAGUGUGUUUCGACACACUAUCAUUAACUGAAUCCAUAGGUUAAUGAGGCGAACCGGGGAACUGAAACAUCUAAGUACCCCGAGGAAAAGAAAUCAACCGAGAUUCCCCAGUAGCGGCGAGCGAACGGGGAGGAGCCCAGAGCCUGAAUCAGUGUGUGUGUUAGUGGAAGCGUCUGGAAAGGCGCGCGAUACAGGGUGACAGCCCCGUACACAAAAAUGCACAUACUGUGAGCUCGAUGAGUAGGGCGGGACACGUGGUAUCCUGUCUGAAUAUGGGGGACCAUCCUCCAAGGCUAAAUACUCCUGACUGACCGAUAGUGAACCAGUACCGUGAGGGAAAGGCGAAAAGAACCCCGGCGAGGGGAGUGAAAAAGAACCUGAAACCGUGUACGUACAAGCAGUGGGAGCCUCUUUUAUGGGGUGACUGCGUACCUUUUGUAUAAUGGGUCAGCGACUUAUAUUCUGUAGCAAGGUUAACCGAAUAGGGGAGCCGAAGGGAAACCGAGUCUUAACUGGGCGUUAAGUUGCAGGGUAUAGACCCGAAACCCGGUGAUCUAGCCAUGGGCAGGUUGAAGGUUGGGUAACACUAACUGGAGGACCGAACCGACUAAUGUUGAAAAAUUAGCGGAUGACUUGUGGCUGGGGGUGAAAGGCCAAUCAAACCGGGAGAUAGCUGGUUCUCCCCGAAAGCUAUUUAGGUAGCGCCUCGUGAAUUCAUCUCCGGGGUAGAGCACUGUUUCGGCAAGGGGGUCAUCCCGACUUACCAACCCGAUGCAAACUGCGAAUACCGGAGAAUGUUAUCACGGGAGACACACGGCGGGUGCUAACGUCCGUCGUGAAGAGGGAAACAACCCAGACCGCCAGCUAAGGUCCCAAAGUCAUGGUUAAGUGGGAAACGAUGUGGGAAGGCCCAGACAGCCGGGAUGUUGGCUUAGAAGCAGCCAUCAUUUAAAGAAAGCGUAAUAGCUCACUGGUCGAGUCGGCCUGCGCGGAAGAUGUAACGGGGCUAAACCAUGCACCGAAGCUGCGGCAGCGACGCUUAUGCGUUGUUGGGUAGGGGAGCGUUCUGUAAGCCUGUGAAGGUGUACUGUGAGGUAUGCUGGAGGUAUCAGAAGUGCGAAUGCUGACAUAAGUAACGAUAAAGCGGGUGAAAAGCCCGCUCGCCGGAAGACCAAGGGUUCCUGUCCAACGUUAAUCGGGGCAGGGUGAGUCGACCCCUAAGGCGAGGCCGAAAGGCGUAGUCGAUGGGAAACAGGUUAAUAUUCCUGUACUUGGUGUUACUGCGAAGGGGGACGGAGAAGGCUAUGUUGGCCGGGCGACGGUUGUCCCGGUUUAAGCGUGUAGGCUGGUUUUCCGGGCAAAUCCGGAAAAUCAAGGCUGAGGCGUGAUGACGAGGCACUACGGUGCUGAAGCAACAAAUGCCCUGCUUCCGGGAAAAGCCUCUAAGCAUCAGGUAACAUCAAAUCGUACCCCAAACCGACACAGGUGGUCAGGUAGAGAAUACCAAGGCGCUUGAGAGAACUCGGGUGAAGGAACUAGGCAAAAUGGUGCCGUAACUUCGGGAGAAGGCACGCUGAUAUGUAGGUGAAGCGACUUGCUCGUGGAGCUGAAAUCAGUCGAAGAUACCAGCUGGCUGCAACUGUUUAUUAAAAACACAGCACUGUGCAAACACGAAAGUGGACGUAUACGGUGUGACGCCUGCCCGGUGCCGGAAGGUUAAUUGAUGGGGUUAGCGGUAACGCGAAGCUCUUGAUCGAAGCCCCGGUAAACGGCGGCCGUAACUAUAACGGUCCUAAGGUAGCGAAAUUCCUUGUCGGGUAAGUUCCGACCUGCACGAAUGGCGUAAUGAUGGCGGGCUGUCUCCACCCGAGACUCAGUGAAAUUGAACUCGCUGUGAAGAUGCAGUGUACCCGCGGCAAGACGGAAAGACCCCGUGAACCUUUACUAUAGCUUGACACUGAACAUUGAGCCUUGAUGUGUAGGAUAGGUGGGAGGCUUUGAAGUGUGGACGCCAGUCUGCAUGGAGCCGACCUUGAAAUACCACCCUUUAAUGUUUGAUGUUCUAACGUUGGCCCCUGAUCGGGGUUGCGGACAGUGUCUGGUGGGUAGUUUGACUGGGGCGGUCUCCUCCUAAAGAGUAACGGAGGAGCACGAAGGUUGGCUAAUCUCGGUCGGACAUCAGGAGGUUAGUGCAAUGGCAUAAGCCAGCUUGACUGCGAGCGUGACGGCGCGAGCAGGUGCGAAAGCAGGUCAUAGUGAUCCGGUGGUUCUGAAUGGAAGGGCCAUCGCUCAACGGAUAAAAGGUACUCCGGGGAUAACAGGCUGAUACCGCCCAAGAGUUCAUAUCGACGGCGGUGUUUGGCACCUCGAUGUCGGCUCAUCACAUCCCGGGGCUGAAGUAGGUCCCAAGGGUAUGGCUGUUCGCCAUUUAAAGUGGUACGCGAGCUGGGUUUAGAACGUCGUGAGACAGUUCGGUCCCUAUCUGCCGUGGGCGCUGGAGAACUGAGGGGGCUGCUCCUAGUACGAGAGGACCGGAGUGGACGCAUCACUGGUGUUCGGGUUGUCAUGCCAAUGGCACUGCCCGGUAGCUAAAUGCGGAAGAGAUAAGUGCUGAAAGCAUCUAAGCACGAAACUUGCCCCGAGAUGAGUUCUCCCUGAGACUUUAAGUCUCCUGAAGGAACGUUGAAGACGACGACGUUGAUAGGCCGGGUGUGUAAGCGCAGCGAUGCGUUGAGCUAACCGGUACUAAUGAACCGUGAGGCUUAACCUU